AUUGAACGCUGGCGGCAGGCCUAACACAUGCAAGUCGAGCGGAUGAAGGGAGCUUGCUCCUGGAUUCAGCGGCGGACGGGUGAGUAAUGCCUAGGAAGCUGCCUGGUAGUGGGGGAUAACGUCCGGAAACGGGCGCUAAUACCGCAUACGUCCGGAGGGAGAAAGUGGGGGAUCUGCGGACCUCACGCUAUCAGAUGAGCCUAGGUCGGAUUAGCUAGUUGGUGGGGUAAAGGCCUACCAAGGCGACGAUCCGUAACUGGUCUGAGAGGAUGAUCAGUCACACUGGAACUGAGACACGGUCCAGACUCCUACGGGAGGGAGAAGUGGGGAAUAUUGGACAAUGGGCGAAAGCCUGAUCCAGCCAUGCCGCGUGUGUGAAGAAGGUCUUCGGAUUGUAAAGCACUUUAAGUUGGGAGGAAGGGCAGUAAGUUAAUACCUUGCUGUUUUGACGUUCCCAACAGAAUAAGCACCGGCUAACUUCGUG
rnacentral:rRNA from 1 species